rnacentral:rRNA from 1 species
CAGCAGCCACGGUAAAACGAAGGGUGCAAGCGUUACUCGGAAUUACUGGGCGUAAAGCGUGCGUAGGUGGUGGUUUAAGUCCGUUGUGAAAGCCCUGGGCUCAACCUGGGAAUUGCAGUGGAUACUGGGUCACUAGAGUGUGGUAGAGGAUAGUGGAAUUUCCGGUGUAGCAGUGAAAUGCGUAGAGAUCGGAAGGAACAUCUGUGGCGAAGGCGACUAUCUGGGCCAACACUGACACUGAGGCACGAAAGCGUGGGGAGCAAACAGGAUUAGAUACCCGUGUAGUCCCUGUCUCUUAUAC